UGCCCAAGUCAUCAUUAUCUGCGUACUACUGUAUUCCAUCACCAGCCAUGAACUAGUUGUCCUAACUAAAUAAGAAUGUAGUGAAAGAAGAAUUCUUCUUCUACACAACAAAAGAACACACUCCAUGUCAAACAAACCAUAUCAAAGAGAAAGUGCUUGGGUGACUUACACUUUCUGAAAAUUGUGGGCUGGGAAUUCCUGCUGCCAAGGAUCUAAACAGAGGGGUUACUUGAAGAGGGGAGCUGAACUCCAAUCUUGAUGAGGCAGAAACAAUCCCAUCAUUGUUUAUCUGUUCCUCAAAACACGGUUUAUAAUUUGUGAAUCAAGUUCCAAAACUAAAGUUCAAUUCAAAGACAACUACCCAAACUGCUAAACUUGGGAUUGCAAACAUGAUGCUGGUCUGGCAAGUUGUUUGAGUUAUGAGAGUUUUGAGCCAAGACUGCAAGUGGUGCUCUUGGUUGCUGAUUUAUUGGAGUUUCAUUUCGUAAAUGUAAUCGGUCCUCAAAUUUGAUCUUUUCUGCAUUAUAAUGGAUAUGGGUCCUCCUAUAUUGCAAUAGGAUAACAUGUUAACACUUCUCUUUGUCGAUUUGUGUAUUUUGAUAAAUAGAGUAUACAGUACCUCAAAUUCUUAAUAGGUACUCCAGAUUCUGAUGUUGUAUCCAUAUUAUUACAAUGUUGGAACAUCACCCUCUUGUUAUUUGAAUUGAUGUAUGAUGUGCUGUUCUCUUUUGC